rnacentral:rRNA from 1 species
GAGUUUGAUCGUGGCUCAGGACGAACGCUGGCGGCACGCCUAAUCCAUGCAAGUCGAGCGACGCACUCCCUCGGGGUAACCCUUGGGUUUGACGGAGCGGCGAACGGGUGCGUAACACGUAAGGAACCUGCCCCUUAGACCGGGAUAGCCCGAAGAAAUUCGGAUUAAUACCGGAUACUCUCACAGAGUCGCAUGUCACUGUGAGGAAAUACUCAGGUGCUAAGGGAUGGUCUUGCGGUCUAUCAGCUAGUUGGUGAGGUAACGGCUCACCAAGGCUACGACGGAUAGCUGGUCUGAGAGGAUGAUCAGCCACACUGGAACUGAGACACGGUCCAGACUCCUACGGGAGGCAGCAGGAGGGAAUAUUGCGCAAUGGGCGAAAGCCUGACGCAGCGAUGCCGCGUGAGGGAUGACGGCCUUAGGGUUGUAAACCUCUUUCAGAAGGGAAGAAAUUGACGGUACCUUCAGAAGAAGCACCGGCCAACUACGUGCCAGCCGCGCCGUAAC